rnacentral:tRNA from 3 species
UUGGGGUGUAGCUUAAAGGUAAAGCAGUCGGCUGUUAACCGAAAGAGUGUAGGUUCAAUUCCUAUCACCCCAGCCAA